UACGUAGGGUGCGAGCGUUAAUCGGAAUUACUGGGCGUAAAGCGUGCGCAGGCGGUUGGCCAAGUCAGCUGUGAAAGCCCCGGGCUUAACCUGGGAAUGGCGGUUGAAACUAGUUGACUAGAAUCUGGCAGAGGGGGGUGGAAUUCCACGUGUAGCAGUGAAAUGCGUAGAGAUGUGGAGGAACACCGAUGGCGAAGGCAGCCCCCUGGGCUGAGAUUGACGCUCAGGCACGAAAGCGUGGGGAGCAAACAGG
rnacentral:rRNA from 1 species